rnacentral:rRNA from 1 species
GACGAACGCUGGCGGCGUGCUUAACACAUGCAAGUCGAGCGGUAAGGCCCUUUCGGGGGUACACGAGCGGCGAACGGGUGAGUAACACGUGGGUGACCUGCCCUCAGCUCUGGGAUAAGCCUGGGAAACCGGGUCUAAUACCGGAUAUGACCCCAUGACGCAUGUUGUGGGGUGGAAAGCCUUGUGCGGCUGAGGAUGGGCCCGCGGCCUAUCAGCUUGUUGGUGGGGUGAUGGCCACCAAGGCGACGACGGGUAGCCGGCCUGAGAGGGCGACCGGCCACACUGGGACUGAGACACGGCCCAGACUCCUACGGGAGGCAGCAGUGGGGAAUCUUGCGCAAUGGGCGAAAGCCUGACGCAGCGACGCCGCGUGAGGGAUGACGGCCUCGGUU